rnacentral:tRNA from 1 species
UGUUCUGUGGCUUAGUUGGUUAAAAUGCUGGAUUUGCGAUACGGAGUCGUGGGUUCAAAUCCCGCCAAAUCUA